rnacentral:rRNA from 1 species
ACGAACGCUGGCGGCGUGCCUAAUCCCUGCAAGUAGCACGCUGAAGGAGGAGCUUGCUUCUCCGGAUGAGUUGCGAACGGGUGAGUAACGCGUAGGUAACCUGCCUGGUAGCGGGGGAUAACUAUUGGAAACGAUAGCUAAUACCGCAUAAGAGUAGAUGUCGCAUGACAUUUGCUUAAAAGGUGCAACUGCACCACUACCAGAUGGACCUGCGUUGUAUUAGCUAGUUGGUGAGGUAACGGCUCACCAAGGCAACGAUACAUAGCCGACCUGAGAGGGUGAUCGGCCACACUGGGACUGAGACACGGCCCAGACUCCUACGGGAGGCAGCAGUAGGGAAUCUUCGGCAAUGGACGGAAGUCUGACCGAGCAACGCCGCGUGAGUGAAGAAGGUUUUCGGAUCGUAAAGCUCUGUUGUAAGAGAAGAACGAGUGUGAGAGUGGAAAGUUCACACUGUGACGGUAGCUUACCAGAAAGGGACGGCUAACUACGUG